AUGCAGUCGAGGGGUAGAGCACUUCGGUCGUUGAGACCGGCGCACGGGUGCGUAAGGAAAACAAUCUGCCUUCCACAGAGGGAUAGCCCAGAGAAAUUCGGAUUAAUACCUCAUAGCAUCAUGACCCGGCAUCGGGAUAUGAUUAAAGUCACAACGGUGGAAGAUGAGCAUGCGUCCCAUUAGCUAGUUGGUAAGGUAACGGCUUACCAAGGCUACGAUGGGUAGGGGUCCUGAGAGGGAGAUCCCCCACACUGGUACUGAGACACGGACCAGACUCCUACGGGAGGCAGCAGUGAGGAAUAUUGGUCAAUGGGCGCAAGCCUGAACCAGCCAUGCCGCGUGCAGGAUGACGGUCCUAUGGAUUGUAAACUGCUUUUGUACGGGAAGAAACCCUCCUACGUGUAGGAGUUUGACGGUACCGUAAGAAUAAGGAUCGGCUAACUCCGUGCCAGCAGCCGCGGUAAUACGGAGGAUCCAAGCGUUAUCCGGAAUCAUUGGGUUUAAAGGGUCUGUAGGCGGUCUUGUAAGUCAGUGGUGAAAGCCCAUCGCUCAACGGUGGAACGGCCAUUGAUACUGCUGGACUUGAAUUAUUGGGAAGCAACUAUAAUAUGUAGUGUAGCGGUGAAAUGCUUAGAGAUUACAUGGAAUACCAAUUGCGAAGGCAGGUUGCUACCAAUGGAUUGACGCUGAUGGACGAAAGCGUGGGUAGCGAACACGAUUAGAUACCCUGGUAGUCCACGCCGUAAACGAUGGAUACUAGCUGUUGGGCGCAAGUUCAGUGGCUAAGCGAAAGUGAUAAGUAUCCCACCUGGGGAGUACGAACGCAAGUUUGAAACUCACAGGAAUUGACGGGGGCCCGCACAAGCGGUGGAGCAUGUGGUUUAAUUCGAUGAUACGCGAGGAACCUUACCAAGACUUAAAUGCAGACUGACCGGUUUGGAAACUGACCUUUCUCAAGACAGUCUACAAGGUGCUGCAUGGAUUGUCGUCAGCUCCGUGCC
rnacentral:rRNA from 1 species